AUUUGCCAUUUUGUUAAUGCCAAUGGAGAGUACUUUACAUAACAGUUAGGGGACUUUUUAUGGGAUUUCCCAUUUUUGUUCUUAGGUGUUAGACAAUCUUCCUGGUAAAAUCUAUCAAAACGUUCUUUGGCCGCAUCCACCCAUUCCUCUUUGUAGCCCCUGCUUAGGAAACGGUUUCUUAGAUCCACGGCCUGAAGCGCAUAUGACGAAUCAUCGCUACAGAUUCUACGAACACGGUGAAAUUGGCUGACAGGGAGGUUUUUUAGUAGUGGUUGUGGGUGGAAACUGUCCCCUCGUAGUAACGAAUUGUGAUCUGUAGGUUUACGGAAGAGAUCCGUUUUGAUCUCCCUCUGAUCUUUAUAAAUCUGUACAUUAAGAAUGCUGAUGCGCUUCGAAUCAAAUUCUAAAGUAAACCUUAGAGGAUCGUUA